GGAGGAUGCGAGCGUUAUCCGGAUUUAUUGGGUUUAAAGGGUGCGUAGGUGGUUAAUUAAGUCAGCGGUGAAAGUUUGUGGCUCAACCAUAAAAUUGCCGUUGAAACUGGUUGACUUGAGUAUAUUUGAGGUAGGCGGAAUGCGUGGUGUAGCGGUGAAAUGCAUAGAUAUCACGCAGAACUCCGAUUGCGAAGGCAGCUUACUAAACUAUAACUGACACUGAAGCACGAAAGCGUGGGGAUCAA
rnacentral:rRNA from 1 species